GACGAACGCUGGCGGCGUGCUUAACACAUGCAAGUCGAACGGAAAGGCCCUGCUUUUGUGGGGUGCUCGAGUGGCGAACGGGUGAGUAACACGUGAGUAACGUGCCCUUGUCUUUGGGAUAACUUCAGGAAACUGGGGCUAAUACAGGAUAGGAGCUCCUGCUGCAUGGUGGGGGUUGGAAAGGUUCGGCGGUUGGGGAUGGACUCGCGGCUUAUCAGCUUGUUGGUGGGGUAGUGGCUUACCAAGGCUUUGACGGGUAGCCGGCCUGAGAGGGUGACCGGCCACAUUGGGACUGAGAUACGGCCCAGACUCCUACGGGAGGCAGCAGUGGGGAAUAUUGCACAAUGGGCGGAAGCCUGAUGCAGCAACGCCGCGUGCGGGAUGACGGCCUUCGGGUUGUAAACCGCUUUCGCCUGUGACGAAGCGUGAGUGACGGUAAUGGGUAAAGAAGCACCGGCUAACUACGUG
rnacentral:rRNA from 1 species